UUUUAGGCUUUGAAGAGAAAUAGUAGAUAAACAAUUGUUUCCAGAGAGCUAACGUAUGGUGCAAGUUAGCAACAAUUUUAGUCGAACUCAUCUCUGAGUCGUUAAGGUGAAGGAUAGUAGUCUUAACCGGAUAGAUCCGUUAAACUUGUUAAGUGGGUAGAGUUUUCUACCAAAUAGAGUGGUACCGCGAUAAUAAAACCUUCGUCUCUAUA
rnacentral:ncRNA from 1 species